UACGUAGGUGGCAAGCGUUGUCCGGAAUUAUUGGGCGUAAAGCGCGCGCAGGCGGUCCUUUAAGUCUGAUGUGAAAGCCCACGGCUCAACCGUGGAGCGUCAUUGGAAACUGGGGGACUUGAGUACAGAAGAGGAAAGCGGAAUUCCACGUGUAGCGGUGAAAUGCGUAGAGAUGUGGAGGAACACCAGUGGCGAAGGCGGCUUUCUGGUCUGUAACUGACGCUGAGGCGCGAAAGCGUGGGGAGCAAACAGG
rnacentral:rRNA from 1 species